rnacentral:rRNA from 1 species
CCCUUAGAUGUUCUGGGCCGCACGCGCGCUACACUGAUGCAUUCAACGAGUCUAAAACCUGCUCUGAUAGGGGUGGGUAAUCUUUUGAAUGUGCAUCGUGAUUGGGAUAGAUGAUUGCAAUUUUUCAUCUGCAACGAGGAAUGCCUAGUAAACGCAAGUCAUCAGCUUGCAUUGAUUACGUCCCUGCCCUUUGUACACACCGCCCGUCGCUCCUACCGAUUGAAUGAUCCGAUGAAUAUCAUGGAUUGAGGAUGCAAGUAGGUUCGCCUAUCUUCAUCUUCGAGAAGUGAAGUAAAUCUUAUCAUUUAGAGGAAGGAGAAGUCGUAACA